rnacentral:rRNA from 1 species
CUAACACAUGCAAGUCGAACGGAAACGAUGGGAGCUUGCUCCCAGGCGUCGAGUGGCGGACGGGUGAGUAAUACUUAGGAAUCUGCCCAGUAGUGGGGGAUAGCCCGGGGAAACUCGGAUUAAUACCGCAUACGCCCUACGGGGGAAAGCGGGGGAUCUUCGGACCUCGCGCUAUUGGAUGAGCCUAAGUCGGAUUAGCUUGUUGGUGAGGUAAAAGCUCACCAAGGCGACGAUCCGUAGCUGGUCUGAGAGGACGAUCAGCCACACUGGGACUGAGACACGGCCCAGACUCCUACGGGAGGCAGCAGUGGGGAAUAUUGGACAAUGGGCGAAAGCCUGAUCCAGCAAUGCCGCGUGUGUGAAGAAGGCCUGCGGGUUGUAAAGCACUUUCAGUAGCGAAGAAAAGCCGGCGGCUAAUAACCGACCGGUCCUGACGUAACCUACAGAAGAAGCACCGGCUAACUCCGUGCCAGCAGCCGCGGUAAUACGGAGGGUGCAAGCGUUAAUCGGAAUUACUGGGCGUAAAGCGCGCGUAGGUGGUUGGGUAAGUCAAAUGUGAAAGCCCCGGGCUUAACCUGGGAAUUGCAUUCGAUACUGCUUAACUAGAGUGUGGGAGAGGGAAGUGGAAUUUCCGGUGUAGCGGUGAAAUGCGUAGAUAUCGGAAGGAACACCAGUGGCGAAGGCGACUUCCUGGCCCAACACUGACACUGAGGCGCGAAAGCGUGGGUAGCAAACAGGAUUAGAUACCCUGGUAGUCCACGCCGUAAA